GAUGAAGAACGUAGCGAAAUGCGAUAAGUAAUGUGAAUUGCAGAAUUCAGUGAAUCUUCGAAUCUUUGAACGCACAUUGCGCCCCCUGGUAUUCCGGGGGGCAUGCCUGUUCGAGCGUCAUUACAACCCUCAAGCUCUGCUUGGUAUUGGGCCCCGCCAGUUCUGGCGGGCCCUAAAGUCAGUGGCGGUGCCUUCCGGCUCCGAGCGUAGUAAUUCUUCUCGCUCUGGAGACCCGGUUGUGUGCUUGCCAACAACCCCCAAUUUUUUAAGGUUGACCUCGGAUCAGGUAGGGAUACCCGCUGAACUUAAGCAUAUCAAUAAGCGGAGGA
rnacentral:misc_RNA from 1 species